rnacentral:rRNA from 1 species
AUGGCUCAGGAUGAACGCUAGCGACAGGCUAACACAUGCAAGUCGAGGGCGAGCACGGGAGUAGCAAUACAACGUGGUGGCGACCGGCGCGACGGGUGAGUAACGCGUAUGCAACCUACCUAUCGAGAGGGGAAUAACCCGGCGAAAGUCGGACUAAUACCGCAUAAAACAGGGGCACCGCAUGGUGAUAUUUGUUAAAGAGAUUCGCUGAUAGAUGGGCAUGCGUUCCAUUAGGUAGUUGGUGAGGUAACGGCUCACCAAGCCGACGAUGGAUAGGGGAACUGAGAGGUUGGUCCCCCACACUGGUACUGAGACACGGACCAGACUCCUACGGGAGGCAGCAGUGAGGAAUAUUGGUCAAUGGGCGGGAGCCUGAACCAGCCAAGUCGCGUGAAGGAAGAAGGAUCUAUGGUUCGUAAACUUCUUUUGCAGGGGAAUAAAGUGCAGGACGUGUCCUGUUUUGUAUGUACCCUGAGAAUAAGGAUCGGCUAACUCCGUGCCAGCCGCUGC